rnacentral:rRNA from 1 species
AGUGAACGCUGGCGGUAGGCCUAACACAUGCAAGUCGAACGGCAGCACAGUAAUAGCUUGCUCUUACGGGUGGCGAGUGGCGGACGGGUGAGGAAUACAUCGGAAUCUACUUUUUCGUGGGGGAUAACGUAGGGAAACUUACGCUAAUACCGCAUACGACCUACGGGUGAAAGCAUGGGAUCUUCGGACCUUGCGCGAUUGAAUGAGCCGAUGUCGGAUUAGCUAGUUGGCGGGGUAAAGGCCCACCAAGGCGACGAUCCGUAGCUGGUCUGAGAGGAUGAUCAGCCACACUGGAACUGAGACACGGUCCAGACUCCUACGGGAGGCAGCAGUGGGGAAUAUUGGACAAUGGGCGCAAGCCUGAUCCAGCCAUACCGCGUGGGUGAAGAAGGCCUUCGGGUUGUAAAGCCCUUUUGUUGGGAAAGAAAAGCAGCAGGUUAAUACCCCGCUGUUCUGACGGUACCAAAAGAAUAAGCACCGGCUAACUUCGUG